rnacentral:rRNA from 1 species
AGAGGGCUCAAGCGUUAAUCGGAAUCACUGGACUUAAAGGGGUGCGCAGGCGGAUCAGUAAGUGUCUUGUGAAAUACCACGGGCUCAACCGUGGAACGGCUUGGCAGACUGCUGAUCUUGAGCCCGGCAGGGGCCGUCGGAACGCUAGGUGGAGCGGUGAAAUGCGUAGAUAUCUAGCGGAACGCCAAAGGUGAAGACAGACGGCUGGGCCGGCGCUGACGCUCAGGCACGAAAGCGUGGGGAGCGAACGGGAUUAGAUACCCCGGUAGUCCACGCCCUAAACGAUGUGCACUAGGUCGAGGAGGUUUUGACGCCAUCUCGGCCGAAGUAAAAACAUUAAGUGCACCGCCUGGGGAGUACGGUCGCAAGGCUA